rnacentral:lncRNA from 1 species
AUAAGAAUUAAUAUCUCCCUGUUAUAAGAAUAACAAGCAGAGAAAUAUUUCCCUAGAAGAGUUCACUGAAGACUUAAGAGGGACAACAAAGGACCUAAGCCUCGUCCCCUCCCUUAUCUCUGCCUUCCCCAAAUCAUUAUGUUGUACUUCAUAUAGAAGGAACACAAUAUUUCAUAUCUGAAAAUCUGAAAUAAUCUUGCAAACAGAUCAUUUAGAAAAGGUUAAAUAUCACCUCUCUCUCAAUAUGUAUUUUGUACAAACUGAUACAAGAAUGUAUGUAAGUAGCUGUGAACAGAAAAUACUAAUACUGCUAUGGUCAAUGACAAUGAAGAAACUGCAGUGCCUGGGACUUUCUCUCAGGAGUCAUCCUGCUAACAACUGUGUGAACGAAGAGCAGAAAAGGCAGCUUCACCCCAGAGAACUCAUCGCAUGUCAGAUAGCGUAUGGAGCUGGUGGACCAACACAGGCAAGGAGAAGCUGUCUGGGAACGCCUUGGACAUCCAUGGAAACCAUGAAGAACACAGUGGAGAGCUCUGUGCCUCGGCCAAGGGUAGGAUCCACCUUAUUCCUAGAAAAUGUCUAAUUUGUUCCCAGCCAUUCCAGUAGUGGAGACCUCACACCCCUCCAGGACAGUCUGU